rnacentral:rRNA from 1 species
GCCAGACUCCUACGGGAGGCAGCAGUAAGGGAUAUUGGUCAAUGGGGGAAACCCUGAACCAGCAACGCCGCGUGAGGGAAGACGGUUUUCGGAUUGUAAACCUCUGUCCUCUGUGAAGAUGAUGACGGUAGCAGAGGAGGAAGCUCCGGCUAACUACGUGCCAGCAGCCGCGGUAAUACGUAGGGGGCAAGCGUUAUCCGGAUUUACUGGGUGUAAAGGGAGCGUAGGCGGCGCGUUAAGUCUGAUGUGAAAACCCGAGGCUCAACCACGGGAGUGCAUUGGAAACUGGCGGGCUGGAGUGCCGGAGAGGUAAGCGGAAUUCCUAGUGUAGCGGUGAAAUGCGUAGAUAUUAGGAGGAACACCAGUGGCGAAGGCGGCUUACUGGACGGCAACUGACGCUGAGGCUCGAAAGCGUGGGGAGCAAACAGGAUUAGAUACCCGAGUAAC